rnacentral:rRNA from 1 species
GACGAACGCUGGCGGCGUGCCUAACACAUGCAAGUCGAGCGGGGUUGAAGCGAGGGGUAACUCGAGUUUCUACCUAGCGGCGGACGGGUGAGUAACGCGUGGGCAACCUGCCUCAAGGACUGGGAUAACAGCUCGAAAGGGCUGCUAAUACCGGAUAAGCCUAUGGCCUCGCAUGGGGCCAUGAGCAAAGGGGAAACCCGCCUUGAGAUGGGCCCGCGUCCCAUCAGCUAGUUGGUGAGGUGAAGGCUCACCAAGGCGACGACGGGUAGCCGGCCUGAGAGGGUGACCGGCCACACUGGGACUGAGACACGGCCCAGACUCCUACGGGGGGCAGCAGUGGGGAAUCUUGCACAAUGGGCGAAAGCCUGAUGCAGCGACGCCGCGUGAGCGAAGAAGGCCUUCGGGUUGUAAAGCUCUGUCUGGAGGACGAAGGAAGUGACGUACUCCGGAGGAAGCCACGGCUAACUACGUG